UCUGUAGGCAAGCUUCCUCCCCCGCACGCGGGCGGAAUGGCUGAGCCGGGCCUGGAAGCCCCCGCCGGGUCCUUGGGGACUUGCGGGCGCGCCGAACACAGGGCGGAGACAGUCGGGUGCCCCGCCCCAGCGGACUGGGCCGCCCUCCCUUUCCCCGCGCAGGGCCAGGGAUGGGGGUGUGGUCCCAAGUGUACAGGGGCAUCAAGCUCUGCGCGGAGCUCCCGGGAACGCUCGAAAGCCCUCAACCUGUUUCCCAGAACCGGUCCCGGGCCGCGCGCCCCGAUUUCCAACAGCCUGCCUGUCCCCCAGGAACGUUCUGACAUCCCUGGGGAGUGCCCAGGCCACGAGACAGCGUCCCGAGGACGCUCUCAUCACGCGUAGUUGCAAGUUUCGGAGCGGCAGUGAGAAGCAUGCGGGACUACGACGAGGUGACCGCCUUCCUGGGCGACUGGGGACCCUUCCAGCGCCUCAUCUUCUUCCUGCUCAGCGCCAGCAUCAUCCCCAACGGCUUCAAUGGUAUGUCAGUCGUGUUCCUGGCGGGGACCCCGGAGCACCGCUGCCGAGUGCCGGACGCAGCGAACCUGAGCAGCGCCUGGCGCAACCACAGUGUCCCGCUGCGGCUGCGGGACGGCCGCGAGGUGCCCCACAGCUGCCGCCGCUACCGGCUCGCCACCAUCGCCAACUUCUCCGCGCUCGGGCUGGAGCCGGGGCGCGACGUGGACCUGGGGCAGCUGGAGCAGGAGAGCUGCCUGGAUGGCUGGGAGUUCAGCCAGGACGUCUACUUGUCCACCGUCGUGACCGAGUGGAAUCUGGUGUGUGAGGACGACUGGAAGGUGCCUCUCACCACCUCCCUGUUCUUCGUAGGCGUGCUCCUUGGCUCCUUUGUGUCUGGGCAGCUGUCAGACAGGUUUGGCAGGAAGAAUGUUCUCUUCGCAACCAUGGCUGUACAGACUGGCUUCAGCUUCCUGCAGAUUUUCUCCAUCAGCUGGGAGAUGUUCACUGUGUUAUUUGUCAUCGUGGGCAUGGGCCAGAUCUCCAACUAUGUGGUGGCUUUCAUACUAGGAACAGAAAUUCUUGGCAAGUCAGUUCGUAUUAUAUUCUCUACGUUAGGAGUAUGCACAUUUUUUGCAGUUGGCUAUAUGCUGCUGCCACUGUUUGCUUACCUCAUCAGAGACUGGCGGAUGCUGCUGCUGGCGCUGACGGUGCCGGGAGUGCUGUGUGUCCCGCUGUGGUGGUUCAUUCCUGAAUCCCCCCGGUGGCUGAUAUCCCAGAGAAGAUUUAGAGAGGCUGAAGAUAUCAUCCAAAAAGCUGCAAAAAUGAACAACAUAGCAGUACCAGCAGUGAUAUUUGAUUCUGUGGAGUUACAGGAGCUAAAUACCCUGAAGCAGCAAAAAGCUUUCAUUAUGGACCUGUUCAGAACUCAGAAUAUUGCCAUAAUGACCAUUAUGUCUUUGCUGCUAUGGAUGCUGACCUCAGUGGGUUACUUUGCUCUGUCUCUGGAUGCUCCUAAUUUACAUGGAGAUGCCUACCUGAACUGUUUCCUCUCUGCCUUGAUUGAAGUUCCAGCUUACAUUAUAGCCUGGCUGCUACUGCGAACCCUGCCCAGGCGUUAUAUCAUAGCUGCAGUACUGUUCUGGGGAGGAGGUGUGCUUCUCUUCAUUCAACUGGUACCUGCAGGUCUCUUUUCCAGAUUAUUACUUCUUAUCUAUUGGUCUGGUCAUGCUGGGAAAAUUUGGGAUCACCUCUGCUUUCUCCAUGCUGUACGUCUUUACUGCGGAGCUCUACCCAACCCUGGUCAGGAACAUGGCGGUGGGGGUCACAUCCAUGGCCUCCAGAGUGGGCAGCAUCAUUGCCCCCUACUUUGUUUACCUUGGUGCUUACAACAGAAUGCUGCCCUACAUCCUCAUGGGUAGUCUGACUGUCCUGAUUGGAAUCAUUACCCUUCUUUUCCCUGAAAGUUUGGGAACGACUCUUCCAGAAACCUUAGAGCAGAUGCAAAAAGUAAAAUGGUUCAGAUCUGGGAAAAAAACGAGAGACUCAACGGAGAUAGAAGAAAAUCCCAAGGUUCUCAUAACUGCAUUCUGAUAAAAUAUCUACCCCAUUUGGUAAAUUAAAAACAGAUAAGUAAGACCCUGUGGAGAAAUCCGUCAUUCCCACUGAAGUGGACUGCCUGUUAACAAUUGACAUGAAAAUGGACCUUGCUAUCAAGAAGUGCUCCUCAUAUAAUAAACUCUGGAUGAUUCUUCAGAUAAUGUCCUUGCUUUACAAACCAACCAUUUCUAGAGAGCCUCCUUACUCAUUAAUCUGAUGAAAUGGAUUGGUAAGCUAUCUUGAAAACAUGUUAGUCAAGGACUAGUAAAAUACAUAUAAAGAUUAACACUUGUUUCCAAUCAUACAAACACUAUCCAAAUAAAAAUGUCAUUGUAUUAACACAAAUAUUAGACAACAA